AUUGAACGCUGGCGGCAGGCUUAACACAUGCAAGUCGAACGAGUGGCGGACGGGUGAGUAAUGCUUGGGCAUCUGGCUUAUGGAGGGGGAUAACUACGGGAAACUGUAGCUAAUACCGCGUACCAUAGGAUGAGCCCAGUUGGGAUUGGGUAGUUGGGGAGGUAAAGGCUCACCAAGCCGACGAUCUCUAGCUGGUCUGAGAGGCGGACCAGCCACACUGGACCGUGGACACGGCCCAGACUCCAACGGGAGGCAGAAGUGGGGAACAUUGCGCAAUGGGGGCAACCUGACGCAGCCAUGCCGCGUGAAUGAAGAGGGCCUCCGGGUUGUAAAGUUCUUUCGGUAGCGAGGCGUUACCUACAGAGGAAGCACCGGCUAACUCCGUGCCAGCAGCCGCGGUAAUAC
rnacentral:rRNA from 1 species